CAUGCCUAACCUCCUCGAACAGAUUGGGAACAUGCAUACCUGGGUGAGGUAGUGUUACAGCUAGCUAAUCUAAUUUGGGUUUCUGGUUGAGGACCUUUGGAACAUAAGCAUUUGGGGAAAUUCAUUUGGCUCAUUCGGAUUACCAAGUGAGUGAAGGUAGGAGUGUGGAGACUAGUGUGGAGCUGAGACUUGCCAAGCUAGCUAGGCUUUUUGUUAAAGACUCUGCGCUAAGCAAAUAGAAACAUUGAAUUGUUUUUGCAUUCUUUGAAGGUAUAACAUGG